CCUACGGGGGGCAGCAGUAGGGAAUCUUCCACAAUGGGCGAAAGCCUGACGGAGCAACGCCGCGUGGGUGAAGAAGGUCUUCGGAUCGUAAACCUCUGUUGUUAGAGAAGAAAGUGCGUGAGAGUAACUGUUCACGUUUCGACGGUAUCUAACCAGAAAGCAACGGCUAACUCCGUGCCAGCAGCCGCGGUAAUACGUAGGUGGCAAGCGUUAUUCGGAUUUAUUGGGCGUAAGGGGCACGCAGGCGGUCUUUUAAGUCUGAUGUGAACGCCUUCGGCUUAACGGGAGUAGUGCAUUGGAAACUGGGAGACUGGAGUGCAGAAGAGGAGAGUGGAACUCCAGGUGUAGCGGUGAAAUGCGUAGAUAUAUGGAAGAACACCAGUGGCGAAAGCGGCUCUCUGGUCUGUAACUGACGCUGAGGUUCGAAAGCGUGGGUAGCAAACAGGAUUAGAUACCCGGGUAGUC
rnacentral:rRNA from 1 species